AGAUUGAACGCUGGCGGCAUGCUUUACACAUGCAAGUCGAACGGCAGCACGGGGGCAACCCUGGUGGCGAGUGGCGAACGGGUGAGUAAUGCAUCGGACGUAUCUUCAAGUGGGGGAUAACGCAUCGAAAGAUGCGACUAAUACCGCAUAAUCUCCGAGGAGAAAAGCAGGGGAUCGCAAGACCUUGCGUCUUUUGGAGCGGCCGAUGUCUGUAUUAGCGUUAGUUGGUAGAAGGUAAGGCCUUAACCGAGGCUUCGAUC
rnacentral:rRNA from 1 species